AGGGGGAGGCAGAGGUGGGGGCUCGGGAAAGCCGGAGGGUGUUGGUUUCUCCUUGGAUCUGGUAGUGAGCCAGUUCUUUUUUUUUUUUUUUUUUUUUAAAUUUUAAAAAUUUAUUCAUGAUAGAGAAAGAGGAAGAUAGAGGCAGAGACACAGGCAUUGGGAGAAGCAAGCUCCAUGCCAGGAGCCCGACGCGGGACUCGAACCCAGGACCCCAGGACCACGCCCCGGCCCAUAAAAGGCAGGCGCUAAACCGCUGCGCCAGCCAGGGAUCCCCAAGCCAGGUCUUUCCCUGCCGCUCGCACCCGGAGGAGGACGGGGAGGGACCUCCGCCCAGGACUCCUCGUGACCCGGGGGAUGGGGCGGGGCCGAGGGGCCGAGGGAGAAGGCGGAGACUUGGCGGCCGGGGUUCGCGUCCGAGCUCUGCGCGAAGCUGUCGGCGGGAGGCCGCCUCGGGUUUUAGCGGGACUACGGCGGUGUCUCUGGGUUAAGGGGGAGGGAGAGCCCUGGCUGGGCGGGCACCCCAGGCUUAAGGGGCAGGGUUUGGGCUCUCACUUGUGGGUUGGGAGUUGGAGCGGGGGGCUGUGGUGGGGUCAGACCCUCAACCGGGAGGGAACGGCCGCUCCAGGAACUUCCCCGCACCCCUUCCCCAACCCCACCCCGCUCUGGAAUGUAGGUCUCCUGACAUCCACUUCUUUGCUUGCUCUCUCCUCUGAAAUGCAGUUUCCCCAGAGGCUUUUUUAUUUUGCAGGUACGUUUUCUGAAGCGUGUUCUCUAAGGAGCUGUGCAAUUGCUUCCCGAGCCCUGUGGGCUCUGAAGAGCACCUCCAGCUGGUCAGACAGGGUUCCCAUAAAGACCGUCUUGACUCCUCAGGGCCCCUGUCUUUCAGCUCUGCCUUCUCAGGCCCCUCGUGUACUAGACAAGAUGGCAUUAAGAAGACCUGACUACAUUGUCUUUGAGGGAAGAAAUAUUGUCUUCUCCUUAAUCCUGGAUACUAUAUCCAAAGUCAAAACAUCAACACCAAAACAGAAAUCUUCUGAAAAAGGAUAA
rnacentral:lncRNA from 1 species